rnacentral:rRNA from 1 species
UACGGAGGGGGCUAGCGUUGUUCGGAAUUACUGGGCGUAAAGGGCACGUAGGCGGCUUGGCAAGUUAGAGGUGAAAGCCCGGGGCUCAACUCCGGAAUUGCCUUUAAAACUGCAUCGCUAGAAUUGUGGAGAGGUAAGUGGAAUUCCGAGUGUAGAGGUGAAAUUCGUAGAUAUUCGGAAGAACACCAGUGGCGAAGGCGACUUACUGGACACAUAUUGACGCUGAGGUGCGAAAGCGUGGGGAGCAAACAGG